rnacentral:lncRNA from 1 species
AUUGACGAGCCGGAAAGCCCUCUGUGAUCCCCACAGGCCUUUCGCUCUCCACGCUUGCUGCCGCGCCGCUAUGGCCGCCGCCGUGUCGCCCGUUGGAGCCGUGAACUCCGUGAGGGUAGGUCCCUCCCCCCCAGGCGUCUCCGGCCACCGACGAGUCUCCUCUCAAUGCUUCUCGUUGUUCAGUUUUAUUUCUCUUUCUCUCGAGGCGGAGGAGUCAAGUGGGUUGUUUGACUUUGCAGCCGAGCCUCCGCAGCUCUGGAUCGGGGCCGUCGGCGCCGGCCUCCUCCUUCUUCGGUGCUAGCCUGAAGAAGGGGAGCUCUCCGGCGAACCAUGGGAGGAUCUCGACGGGGAGCUUCAGGGUGAUGGCAGCUGACCUCGACGAGAGCAAGCAGACCUCUGGGGACAGAUGGGGCGGGCUCUACUACGACAUGUCGGACGACCAGCAGGAUAUCACCAGGGGGAAGGGGCUGGUCGACUCCCUCUUCCAGGCCCCCACCGGCCAGGGCACCCACGAUGCUGUCCUCAGCUCCUACGAGUACAUCAGCCAGGG